GUUCUAUAAUAAAUGUUAGACUUCUUGUUGAUUUGGUUUCACAUUUCGGCUUCGUCGGAGGAAAGCGUCCCAGAAAUAAAAUAGCCUUGCAAGACGUCAUAAUUAUUUGGACUAGGUUUUCACCACCAUCAACAUUGUAUUGUAAAGAGUGUCGCACUGUGGAAGAAACGAGUUUGGCGCGUUAACAAAAAUAUAAUUGUCUGUGCUGACAGGUUAGUAUAUGUGUGCAUACCAAUAUUUAAAUUUUCUAAGCCUUCUUUUUGGAUAUUUUGUCCAUUUCUUGGUAAAAUACUAUCAGACCUCGAGUGCUGUUGUUUUACAAAAACGAUCAAGUAAUGUAGGGGAAAGAAACUAACUUAAAAGACCAAAAUAAGCCACAACUAAUGGGGGUCUCAUUGGGGGUUCUGUUCACGGAUCCCGCUUAGUUACUUAGAUUCCCGCAUCCCGCUUACACUAUGUAAGUAACAAUUCUGAUAUUUGUAAUUUCCGUGUCCCGCUAAACUUCAUUCCGUUCACGGCACAUACUUUGACUUUCAGUGUCACGCUUACCAACAAAUCCGCCAGAAUGAUGGAAUGAUACAACGGUCACAAAGGACAUGGCAUAUAGAAUUAUACUUUGAAAAAUUUCAUAAAUUCAAAUUUUAUAAUCAUAUCUUUAGUAAUUAGAAAGUUAUUUAAUGUUUUAACGACACGCCAGUGGCGUAGCCAGGGUAGAAGAACAUGUGGAUGCGAAUUUUCGACGAGCUGAGCGAGCGAUAAAUUUUGGGACUUUUAAUGCAAAAAAAUAAAUUUUUCCUGUAUGCAUGUCAGUCAUGUCAGUGUAUUCCCCUAGAAUCCGACACUGGUUAGAUUUUCGUUUAGUUUCAAAAUACAACAACGCAUAUACAUUAUAUUUCCAAACAGAAUUUAUGAACUUGUCUACCUUCAUAAAAUUCAUAAAUAUUUAAUGUAAAAGUUUCACACCAAAUCUUAUAUUUGACAUCUCAAAAAACAAACCCAUUACAGCGCAACUUCUGUCUAUGGAACUUCGGAAUAUAGGAACCGAAGUGACCCCCCCCCCCCUCCUUCCUGGAAUUUGAGCUCGCAAUUGGGUUUUUGAUAACUUGUCUUAACUCAUUGCUCGCGAGAGGAAAUGAAAAUACCUGGCGUCCGUCCGUCCAUCAGUUUGUUGCGCUGUCAUUUGUACAAUUCUUGCAGAUUUUUGUGAAACUUGUAUCAUCAUGCAGCAGUGUCUUUCACACAUUCGAUAUAAAUCCUGAUCUGAAAUAUUUUUAACCAAUAUAUGCCCCUUGGAAAUAUAAAUUAUAAGCAAAUCUCAUUGUAUUGUUUGGAAGCUUUUUCUCUCGAGAUAUAAAUUAAAAAAAAGAAAAAGUGCUUAGUUUAGUUUUUGCCCUCUGUACAUAAAAUGUAUCUUGGAUGCGGGGGACAUUGGAUCUCUGAUCUUUUAUUGAAAACAACAUUUAAUAUGUACCUAGAUGGAAAAGGGUAUUCGUGAGUCCUGGAAUAAAAACACUUCAUUACAAAUGAGUCGUCGUCUUUCGUGCCACAGAAAACGAUGAUAGGAUAAUGAUUUCAGAUUUUUUAUCCUACUUGUUCACAUGAAGAAAAACCAUGCAGUACGGCCAUCUAGAAAUGAUUGGAAGCUAUUUCAUAUUCUUAUAUACAUUCGGUAUACCUAUUGUGUAUAGCUGGCGACUAAUUCUCUUGCUUUAUAUUAAUUAUUUAAAAAACAAAAAAAUUGUCAAAAUGAAUGUGGAUCUUGAGCAGUCGUGCAUGAGCAUACAUGCCAAGCUACGCCACUGCGUGACGCGCCUCAAUCAAUUGAGUGUCACCUGUGUAAUCGAUUGAAAUUCAUGUUCGCUCAACCUUGACCCGUUAUAAUCCACUUGUUAAACUGAUUAAACAUGUAUAUCACGGCCGACACUCGGCUAACGAGAGAUUGGUCGGUUAAUCUAUAUUUGAGUAUCGGCUAUUAUAUGGGCGUUGGUCUGUUAUCAGCUCGGUGCCAGUGGUUAAUGACUCUGUUGAGUAAGAACGCCAAUUUAAUAUUAAACUCUUUAAUAUGCAGAUAUUUGGCAUAUAUGAGAACCAAAUCAAAAAAAGAAAAGUGUCUGACAAAAUGAUAUCUAUCAUAGAACAUUUUUACCACUGUAAAAACAUUUCAGUCUGUGAAGUUUCAGAAAUAACUAAAAGGCGGCCGCGCGAAGUAUGAAGUAGAUUAUGCCGGCGAGAAAGGAAAAAGCCAUUCACAAUUUGUCUUGCAUUGGUUUUUCUCUUUUUUUAAUUAAAUAAAAAAAAAAACCUUUCAAAUAUAGAGUUCAUAAAUACAAAUAUUCCCUGUGGACACCUCCCCCUUUUAUUUGUGCUCUCUAUUUUAAAACCCUCGACAUAGGCUUUCGAAUCUAAUUAAAAUUAAAACCUUGCUUUAUAACAAAUCUAUUCAUGUACCGAGCCGGCAACUUUUUAUUUAAUACGAAAUCUACAGUGCAUUAUACACAUGCAUUUUGUUUGCUUGGAGUCCCGCGCUCGAAAAGAAAGAAAUAGCCCAACUCCAAGAUACUAUUUUCCUGCGUCACGUGAUUUUUACCACGUCGAGCUUACAUUUGAAUAAAUACCGAAUAUGGAAAGUGAAACUACAAUUCAAAACAUAAAGUCCGAAGCAACAAAUAGAAAAAGAAAGAGUUUUUUUGGCAAAGGCGCCGGUAAAUUCUCUCGGUGUUCAAAUAUAUACCUGAAAUAUUUGCUACUGCCCUUAUCUGUUCUAUGAAUUCUAACCCUGAGUUUCAUUCUGUUACUUCCAUGCCAAGAAAUCCUCGCUAAAAAUUCCGGUCGAUUCUUACGCAGAUUAGUAACUAAAGAUUUGAUUUCUUUACGAAAUUAAUUUAUGGCCUUCUUACGUACGGUGUCGCUUAGAACACGGCCAUAUACCAAAUGGUCAAUAUUAAUCAUCCAUGUAAUUUGCUCUAGGGUGUUUGCAGAAUUUCAACAUAGCAUUUUCUUGGAUGUUAUGCGCAUAGCAAUUUUUUCAAUAAAAGGCGAUAAAAACAAUUUAGAUAUCAUUUAAAGAAACAACAAAUAGUACUUUGGUUCUAAAAAAUAAAUUGACAUCAGUAUAAAUAUUUCAUAAUAUUAAUAUAACGUGGAAUAAUACCACGAUUUAGUGAAAAUUAUGGGAAUAAAGUCUGUUAAUGGGUUGGACAAACUAAAAUUGUGUCAGUUAAGCGUUAUUUACCAGCACAAUAGUUUUGCUACCUUAAUAUUUUCCCAUUGAAAAGUUAAGAAUGAAAUCUUUUUGAGUAAAAAAAAUGACAAUACGGUGCAACAGUAUCCUUUUAGUAAGAGAAUUUUAGUUCGACUUCUUUGCAUUUUAUUGAAUGGGUGUGUCUACUUCAAUAUAUCGUGAUAUGGAUUGACCGCUGGAAUAUACAUGUAUUUAUUAUUAACGUUUUCAAUCAGACCUUAAUUUUUAUGUCUGUUCAAAGUAGCACGUUUUAAAAUCCGCCUGAAAGUGUCUUUCUAAUACAACACAGGGUACAUAUAACGUAUUGUCGUUCUUAUAUGCACGAUAUUUGUCACUGAGCGUUAAACCCUAAUUCGUCAGUAUCAUCCAAUUGGUUCUUUUCUUCUAUUACUUAAUCAUAUGUUGUUUACAAAUCAUUCUAGAGAAUGAAAAGGAGCGAAUGCAGCUACAUUUGGUUAUCUUAAGUUUUAAUUCAUUUUAUUCCGUUUAGUUCCUUUCUACAUAAGUGCAGAGGAGAACUGCAGUUGUCCGCAUGUAAGCUGUAAGCUUCUAGCAUUUGUCACCAAUUUGGGUACAUCGCAAUCCGUUACUGUUUCAACACCCAGGUGUGUUUCAUGUCUGUAUUCUUAAACAAUUAUUAAUUAUCUCUCUUUUUAGCAAUGCAUCACUCUCUAUACUGUCGUUUUCUGCUCAUGUAGGAGGCUUUUAUGUAUAAAGUUUACUAUACGGUAUGGGUAUUUCUCAUUGUUGAAAGCCGCAUUGUUGCAUGCCUAUACUUGCUUACAUGAUCAUAUGCACUUCGUUUUCAAUUUGUGGUCUCAUUUGCAAUCAUACAUCUCCUUAUUCUGACAAAGUAAACAUAAUGUAACUAUUAAAUGAAUUAUAAACCUUAUGAAUUGGGCCGUUAGUUUUCUCAAUUGAAUUAUUUCUUAAAGUACAUAUGACCUAUUUAUUUCUUACAUCUACUUUAUUUAACUUUUGCGGAUAGGAUUCUAUUAUACUUUUUAUUUGAUGCUGAAAAUACGAAAACGAAGGUAUUCAAAUGCUAUAAAUAAGCGAAGUAAAAUAACCAUUAUUUUUUUUUCUUUGGUUACAUCUUCUGACAUCAGACUCGGACAAUUUGGAAAUUAGUAUGGCGUUCAUUAUCACUGAACUAGUAUAUAUUUGUUUAGGGGCCAGCCGAAGGACGCCUCCGGAUGCGGGAAUUUCUCGCUACAUUGAAGACCUGUUGUUGACCUUCUGCUGUUGUUUUUUUCUAUGGUCGGGUUGUUGUCUCUUUGGCACAUUCCCCAUUUCCAUUCUCAAUUUUAUUAUGCAUAUGAACAUUAUAUAUAUUUUAUUUAUUAUUUCAAAUAUCAUUUGUGACACCAAUUUAAUUUAUUUCCAAAUCUUAAAAUCAUAUAUCACCACAGUUCUUUAUCGUCUCUUAUUAUAAUGACAGAACGGGCUGUGGAGUUAUAUGAUUAUCGGCGAUAUGAAUUUCAUAUAUAAAUUUUGAAAUAUUCUAAUUUAUCCAUGUUAUCUUGUCCACUCCAUAAUUCCAUAAAUUUGUCCUAUUACUGUACUCAAGGAUUUGUAUAGUUAGAAGGAUUAGAAUCUUGCUGUACUAUAUAACGGAUUUUUAUAUAUUGAACCAAAAGUUAAUUUGAAAUUAACUUCUACAACAUUGUGAAUAUAUUGGUUUCUCAAACCGCUAUGGCUAUUACAUUAUAAAAGAAAAUGGUCUUCAUCUUCAAAUGUUGAAAUAAAGAUAAAUUGUAAUAAAAAGGCAUUGGCAUCAGUAAUAAAGGUAUCUGUCAUAGUACACAGUUAUGAUGAUUCUCUUUUUGAAAAAUAAAAAAACGGUAUGUUAUUUCAUAAAAUAGUAUUUACCUCUUGAAGUCUUUCUAUAAUAGUUCUGUAAUCGGGUUUUGAAGAAACCCACGGACGCCACAUUUUUUACUCUCAAAUAUCUUUCAAGGUAUAAUAAUAGUAUGUACACUCUUGUGUUAAUAGGAAAUGAAAUCUCAGAAGCAUUUUUUUUCUCAAUUUGUAUUUCAAAAUUGGCUUCUUUAAAAAAAAAAAAAAAAAAAAAAGUUUAUUUAGCAAUUUCCUUCAAAACAAAAUAAAACAAAGGCAAAGUAAACACAAAAUUCAAUUUUUAAUUUUUCUUUCAUCAUCUUGAAAUUAUACCACGCUAAACCGUUAGGUUUAUUCAACAACUACCAUUAACUAAUCAAUUAGUAACGAUCAAAGACAAUUGUUUAUUCGAUAAGGUUGAUUGGACAUGAUAAUUGUGAAUUUGCAAUAUGCCGUUGUUCACGUGUCGAAUGGCACGCGCUGAUAAGAAAAGGCAUUUAACUUCAAAAUUACAAUAUCUAUUGAUAUCAAACUUUAUAAUUAUGAGUAAUAUACUUAUAUCUUCUUAUAUCCAUGUUUUGUGUGGUCCUUAAACAUCGUUUUAGUGUCCUUAGUUCAAAAACUUUCUUCUUAGUGCACUAAGUAGUCCUUUGCGGUAUUUCUACACACUGCCACUGGUACAUAUAUGGCUUCAUCGUUAGGCUAAUAAAGAAUUACCUAAACUGAUAAAAAGGUAAUGAAUGUGAAUUUGUUAAGAACUUUUUCUAAAAUAUUUGAACAAUGAUAAAAACAUUAUCCUUGCCUAUUUGUCCACUUACUAAAAAGGUAUGGCCAAUGUCCGGUUUAUUUGUUUCGUUAUUUGGUUCCCAUGUUCAAAUAAAUUGAUGCAUUUAAUAAUAAAUCCUUGCUAAUAUAGAAAAGCAAGUCAAUCUUCUCAUCUGGACUUUAGUCUGUAUAUAUCGGCCCCUUCUCUAUUUUGGGAUUGAAAAAAAAAUAUCUUUAAAAAAAAUGCGGUUUUGAGCCAAUUUCUUUCUUUUUAAUUUGGUAACACGUUAGGCAAUCAGUGACACUAAUAUAGUAUAUUACCAAUAAUAAGGCCAUAUAUUUAAAGCUGUUCAAAAUUCUGUACAUUAUAUGUACGUGUAUCAGAUCGGACAUUUUUUUUUAAUUGUCGUAUAUAUAAAAAGAAUUACUAUAAGUUAUCUAGUAUGAAAUAUGUCCACUGGACCGACCGUGCAAGUACUGUAUAUAUAGCUAGUCAAGGUCGUUAAAAACUUCCAUUUGUUGUUGUCCACUGGAAAUAAGCUCUUUAAAACACGAAUCCCCGUUUAUACUCAAUGCCAAAUUUAUUUGUUAAUAUUUUUUAAUCUUUCUCUUAUGAUUUUAUCAUAAUAUCUUUUUUUGAUUUUUUUUGUGUGGUUGAACAUGAAAUUGACACCGAUGCUACAAAGAGAAUUUGUUUAAUGUCAUCUGUUGCAAUAUAUACUAAGUAUUACACGUGGACAGGAUGUUCCCCAGAAAAUAAGUUAUACACACCCGAAGGGUACACGCUACUGUCAUAUGGAAAAUUACUGGGUCACCUGUAAGAUGGUAAUCAGCCAUGCGACUAAUCUGGUGACUGACUGACCAUGUCACUACGCUAUAAAAAGUUUAUCGUGAGAUCGAAAUGAAAUAUUCAUUUUAAUUAAAAAUUUAAGAACUAAAGGAUUUAUCAUUAUUAUGAAGUUAAAUAAUUCAACCAAAUCGUAUUAUUUCCCAAAAAGAUUAUAUACAUAUAUGUUUUAUCUAUACCGGGAAAAAAUUAAAACUGUAUUUAUAAUUUAAAUUUAUUUUAUAGAAAUCCUUGUCUCUUGAAAUGGAACUCACGCAUGCCUAAUUAAGAUUUAUAAAUUUAUUUAAAAAUAUAACAAAUAUUUAGUUUUGAUAUUAAAUUAAAGUUACCUUUCCGCGCUAUAAUUUAUUUGAUAUGACAUGAAUUAAACUAUUUUUGUUGAGGGAUUUAAGGGUUUGUCCAUACAACGUGUAUGUUAUUAGUAUUUCACAUGACUUGUUUUCGCCUUGAAGCUCAUUAUACAGAGUGUUUCAGACAAGAUUAUGAAAAUAACGUGCACGAUACUUUUUUCGAUCAUCGUGAAGUGACAAUUUUAAUUCCCAUUCCUCCAUGCACUCGACCCCUGUUCAAUUGUAUAUUUAUAAUUCCUCGUGCUUUUAAUUACCCCUCUACGUGAUUACCGUUAUGCCAACAGAAACCGGGACUUGAUUUACAUGUAAAAUCAGGGGCGGAUCCAGCCACGAUAAAGGGGAUUAAACAACUACAUGUCUCCAUUUAAUAAGGGCUGUCGUUAUCGCUGGGUUUCUCUGACCUCACCAGAGACAUAUAUACAUAUAUGUGUAUAUAUGUCUCUGCCUCACCCUAUUCAUAAAAUUUAGAUUUCAAAAGUGUAUACCUUUUUUUCAUAUAUUGUGUAGGUUAAAAUGAUUGCUCACAAAAGGGGAGUCCAGCCCCCGGAUUCCACCCCCUUCGACCCGCCACAGAAUAUGAAAUUGUUAUUUAAAAGUCACAUACUAGUACUAGAUCCGAGCACCUGUUUUGGGAUACAUAUACAUAUAGCUAAUUUACCGUAAAUAACUGCGAGAAAAUGAAUAAUACACAAGUUGAUAAUUGUCUCUUCUCUGCUAAUUAAUGUGCAUGCAAUAUAAUAUUCACUCUGAUUUACUUGUGAGACCACCGACACUAAUAAAAUUUACCUCGAUUAAUACCCUGGGUAUUACAUCUAUGGUGCUCCGUUACUGGGAAGAUCAUAUCGGAUCCGAUCAAUUUAUUGGUUCCAUUCCCCCAAUUGGAAGUCAACACGGCUCCUUAGAAAAAAUGCAUUGCAAUGCGUCAUAAUUAUCUGGACUACUAAGUACUUCCAUAUAACUUCGAAAACAGACAAUAAUUUAUUUUACUGGAUGAGAUUGGGCUGACGGAUUUUUAAUGGAUGGUAAUUUUUAUUUAUAGCACAAGUUUACAAGGCAAGAUUAUUCACCUUUUUCACCCUACAAAUCAAAUGGUUGCCUCCUUACACCUACACGACCUAAAACAUAUUCAUAUGAACAUAUGGUAUCAUUCAUUUGUGUGACAACUCUGAGUGUAAGAUUGACGGGGAGGGAUCCAGAACUUUUCAUUUUCUUUUUGGAAAAGGGGGGGGGGGGUGGAUGCUUGCUCCAGUCUAGUCCAAAUAAUUAUGACGUCUUGAAAGGCUAUUAUAAUUUUUUUCUUUGACGCCUUACAUCGAUGUAAGGCGUCAAAGAAAAAAUUAUAAUAGCCUUUCAAGACGUCAAUGUAAGGCGUCAAAGAAAAAAUUAUAAUAGCCUUUCAAGACGUCAUAAUUAUUUGGACUAGCUCCAGUCAUGCUUCAGUGAUACCCUAUAUAGUCAACAAAAAAUUUUACACGAAAAGGGGGGGGGGGCUUUCCCCUUAAUUAGAAAUCUCUAUUUUCAGGCAUAGGCUCAUAUAAAUUUGCCUGUUGAAGAACUGAAAUAAAUAUGAGAUGGCUAAUAAGUUUUCAGCUGCUUUACAUUAAUAUACAUCAUAUAUACAUAUAUGUGACAUACACAAUUAGAGCCAUUUAAAAAGCUAUUUUUUGCAAUACUUAAAUAAUGUAGGAUCAAAUCUUGAUACGUGUAGUUGAAGUUGUUUAAAGUUAAACAUAAGAAUGACCAUAUAGUUUUUAAUGUAUAUAUGCUAUAUAUUGCCAUGAAACUAGGUCAUUGUAGGUAAACUGUCAUCUAUUCCCUUAAAUCUUAGUUCACGCCAAGUUUGAUUAAAAUUAGUCGAGUAUAUCUACCAUGUCUACUCUAUUAGGUCUCUAGUUUGGAUAGUGUUUAACUUGCAAAUUAAAAUCAUACUACUUCCAAAUUUAUUUCUUUAUUAAAAAUAUUAUGGAUGAAAUACCAAGUAAUUAAGAGGAUGAAAUUAAAUUGGAUGAAAUGUGGCAAAUUUUUUAGGUAAAGUAGUAAUUUGAUAAAGUUUAAAAAGGUAAAAUAUUAGUAUGUCUGAAGUUGUCAAACUUAAUUAUAGACCCUUUAAAAAUAAAAUUAUCCUUAUUUCAAGUUAUAGCUUAUAGAUUUUUCUAUAAUGUUGAUCAGGGGUGGAUCCAGCCAUUAUUAAACAGGGAGGGGUCCCAACCCAGAGUAAAGGGGGGGGUCCAACUACUGUAUAUGCUCCCAUUGAAAUGCAUUGCUCGGCAAAAGAAAAGGGGUGGUUCCAACCCCUGCCCCCCUCCCCCCAGUCCAAUUUUACCUCACUGUUCUAGGAAACAAAAUAGUCCAUUUUUUUCCUGAUUUUUUUUAGGGACUCAAUUUUUUCUGUUUGAUUAUAGAUUUAUGCUGAAUUGAAACAUAUUUAUCUGUAUAUAGAUUUAAAAAAAAAUCUUGCAUCUUUUUGGAGAUAUCAAUCCAGGAAAGUGGAAGGAUUUCAUGUUUACUGGAUGUGGUGUGGCCUAGUGAAAACAGCAAACAGAAAGUAGAAAAAAAAAUGUUUUGACUUCAGGGUUACAUAACUUUUUAUUCUUCGUGGCAUGACCCACUUUUUCCCCGAUUAAAUCACAAUUUCACAUUAGUACAUACAUGAUAUGAACAUGAAAAUGUUUUCCUAUGUAGCAUUUUUUAUUUUUUUAUUUUCAAAGAUCAGCUGUUUAGCAUGUAAGCCUAUGGAGCAGUCAAUUACAAGACUGCAACCUAAAGAAAAACACAUACUGAUGUUUAAUAAUAGUUUUUAUCCUUUUUAUGUUUAGGACAAGAAAUAUAGAAAAAUAUAAACAGUUAAAAUAGAAAUGAGCGACAAAACAAGAAAAACAGAAUACAACAAGGCCUAAAUGG
rnacentral:lncRNA from 1 species